rnacentral:rRNA from 1 species
AUGCAAGUCGAGCGCACCUUCGGGUGAGCGGCGGACGGGUGAGUAACGCGUGGGAACGUGCCCUUUGGUACGGGAUAACUGAGGGAAACUUCAGCUAAUACCGUAUGUGCCCUACGGGGGAAAGAUUUAUCGCCAUUGGAGCGGCCCGCGUUGGAUUAGGUAGUUGGUGAGGUAAAGGCUCACCAAGCCUACGAUCCAUAGCUGGUCUGAGAGGAUGAUCAGCCACACUGGGACUGAGACACGGCCCAGACUCCUACGGGAGGCAGCAGUAGGGAAUCUUGCGCAAUGGGCGAAAGCCUGACGCAGCCAUGCCGCGUGAAUGAUGAAGGUCUUAGGAUUGUAAAAUUCUUUCACCGGGGAAGAUAAUGACGGUACCCGGAGAAGAAGCCCCGGCUAACUUCGUGCCGGCAGCCGCGGUAAUACGAAGGGGGCUAGCGUUGCUCGGAAUUACUGGGCGUAAAGGGCGCGUAGGCGGACAGUUUAGUCAGAGGUGAAAGCCCAGGGCUCAACCUUGGAAUUGCCUUUGAUACUGGCUGUCUUGAGUUCGGGAGAGGUGAGUGGAAUGCCGAGUGUAGAGGCGAAAUUCGUAGAUAUUCGGCGGAACACCAGUGGCGAAGGCGACUCACUGGCCCGAUACUGACGCUGAGGCGCGAAGCGUGGGGAGCAAACAGG